GAUGAAGAACGUAGCGAAAUGCGAUAAGUAAUGUGAAUUGCAGAAUUCAGUGAAUCAUCGAAUCUUUGAACGCACAUUGCGCUCCCUGGUAUUCCGGGGAGCAUGCCUGUUCGAGCGUCAUUACAACCCUCAAGCUCUGCUUGGUGUUGGGCCCCGCCGCCCCGGCGGGCCCUAAAGUCAGUGGCGGUGCCGUCCGGCUCCGAGCGUAUGGGGCUUCGUCACCCGCUCCGUAGGCCCGGCCGGCGCCCGCCGGCGACCCCCCUCAAUCUUUUCAGGUUGACCUCGGAUCAGGUAGGGAUACCCGCUGAACUUAAGCAUAUCAAUAAGCGGAGGA
rnacentral:misc_RNA from 1 species